rfam:Nestor notabilis contig68047, whole genome shotgun sequence.
AAAAAGGCUUUUUUUUUUUUUUUUAAAGCCACAAAAUGAGACAUUGGAAUUAUCU